GAUCAUGGCUCAGGAUGAACGCUGGCGGCAACGCUUAACACAUGCAAGUCGAGCGGAGGUUGAAAGCUUGCUUUAACCUUAGCGGCGGACGGGUGAGUAACACGUGGGUAACCUACCUCAUACAGGGGGAUAACGUAUAGAAAUGUACGCUAAUACCGCAUAAGCCUACAGAAUGGCAUCAUUCAGUGGAAAAACUCCGGUGGUAUGAGAUGGGCCUGCGUCUGAUUAGCUAGUUGGUGGGGUAACGGCUCACCAAGGCGACGAUCAGUAGCCGGUCUGAGAGGAUGAACGGCCACAUUGGGACUGAGACACGGCCCAAACUCCUACGGGAGGCAGCAGUGGGGAAUCUUCCGCAAUGGGCGCAAGCCUGACGGAGCAACGCCGCGUGAGUGAAGAAGGUUUUCGGAUCGUAAAGCUCUGUUGAGAGGGACGAGAGAUAUAAUCAGGAAAUGGGUUAUAGAGGACGGUACCUUUCGAGGAAGCCACGGCUAACUACGUG
rnacentral:rRNA from 1 species